UACGAAGGGGGCUAGCGUUGCUCGGAAUGACUGGGCGUAAAGGGCGCGUAGGCGGUUCACGCAGUCAGAUGUGGAAUUCCUGGGCUCAACCUGGGGGCUGCAUUUGAUACGUGUGAUCUAGAGUGAGGAAGAGGGUCGUGGAAUUCCCAGUGUAGAGGUGAAAUUCGUAGAUAUUGGGAAGAACACCGGUGGCGAAGGCGGCGACCUGGUCCUUGACUGACGCUGAGGCGCGAAAGCGUGGGGAGCAAACAGG
rnacentral:rRNA from 1 species